GAUGAAGAACGCAGCGAAAUGCGAUAAGUAAUGUGAAUUGCAGAAUUCAGUGAAUCAUCGAAUCUUUGAACGCACAUUGCGCCCGGCAGCACUCUGCCGGGCAUGCCUGUUCGAGCGUCAUUCCUCAACCCUCAAAUCAACUUUUGUUGGUUUGGUGUUGGAGGUUCUGCGGGACCGUCUUGUUUUCGGACAAGAUGCCGCAGCCUCUGAAAAGGAGUGGCGGCCCCGUCGUUUUGGCGCCCCCUGCGAAGUAGUAGCUUUCUACCGCGCUUACGCAUUGGGACCCGACGGGUAGCCUGUCGAAACCCCUGACCCUAUUCGAAGGGUCUCUCUUUCGUACGGUUGACCUCGAAUCAGGUAGGAAUACCCGCUGAACUUAAGCAUAUCAAUAAGCGGAGGA
rnacentral:misc_RNA from 1 species